CCCAAGCAUAGGGUGUCCAGAAGGAAAGGUCAUAGAGGGAAGGUCAGACCUCGCACUGCUUGGCAUACUGAGGAGGGGCAGGAGCAGGGCCGGUUGUGCCUGGAAGCUGAGUGGGGAGAACAGAGCACAGAGCAGGGGACAGAACAGAACAGGUGAGCAGAGGCUCCUCAUGAGGGGCUCAGGAGCACAGGGAGGCAGAAGGGGGUUGUAGGUACUGGAGAACGGCAUAGACAUCCUCAGAGUCCCCAGGGCAGACACCAGCAGCCUGUUCAUGAGGGGAACACCAGAGUGUUGGGUCCUGUGUCACUGGAUCACCUGCCUCCGAGACUCAAUUUCCCUGUGACUCAGUCAUCUCUGACCUCAGGACCCAAGGCUGCCUCUGGAGAACUUGGAAGGUUUGAAUUUUCUGAGACUCUGCAGGCAGGGCCGGGGAGGGGGCUUGGCAGCCUGAGUGCUUUUGUGCAUGGCCCUCGAGUCUUCAUGGAUAAGGCCAAGGUCCAGAUACCAUACCAGCUCACUCUUUUUCAGACGGGGGAACUGAGACCCAGGGAGAGAGUCCUACAGGCUGCCUGGCCAAGACCAAGUUCUGCAUCGGUGGCUCCCACGGGAACUUUUGGGGCCCCAGAGGUUUCCCUGACACUUAAAGAAGUAACUGCUAAGGCUCCGGAACCCUGGGGGACACCCCAACCUCCCAGCUCCAUCUACCCAUGUAAGUGACUUCCAUACUUCUGGUGCUGGGAGGAGAAUUACCAUCUGGGGUACAUGGACUCUGCCCCUUCCUGGGGUCCUUCCUGGAGCCUUGGUCAUGCACAGACCCCUCCUCUUAUCCAUCUCUUCCUCCACUGGCUCACCACUCACACCUAUCAUCAUUGUUAUUAUUUUUGAAGCAGAGCUGGUACUUACUAAGAGAUCUUAAUAUAGAUCUCUUUUAAGCACAAGGGUGGAAAGAAAGAAAUGUUCUUGAUGAGAAAGCAGCACAUACUCCAGGAAGAUAUGUGUAUAGGCUUCCCAAAGGACAGACACAC
rnacentral:lncRNA from 1 species